rnacentral:rRNA from 1 species
UACGUAGGGGGCGAGCGUUGUCCGGAUUUAUUGGGCGUAAAGAGCGUGUAGGCGGCCAGGUAGGUCUGCUGUGAAAACUCGAGGCUCAACCUCGGGACGUCGGCGGAAACCAUCUGGCUAGAGUCCGGAAGAGGAGAGUGGAAUUCCUGGUGUAGCGGUGGAAUGCGCAGAUAUCAGGAGGAACACCAAUAGCGAAGGCAGCUCGCUGGGACGUUACUGACACUGAGGCGCGAAAGCGUGGGGAGCGAACAGG